AAUUGAGUAAAAGGGCUACAAUAAAUAAUGGUAAUACUUGCACCAAGAGUAACAAAGUUGGCUGAUCCAGGAUCCACGUUCUACCUAAAAUCCAACAUCAAGGGAGCCAGAUUAAGGAAGUCAACCAUGAUCAGGGAGUCAAUGCCUCAGUCUUUAACAUCCUAUUAUUUAACCCUGGUUUGAAAUAGGCACCAUUUGCCUUCCAUGGACUGGAUGCUUACUAACAGGAUACUAGAAAGGGGUGGUUGCUAUGCAUGAAACUCCCAUGACGUUUGUUUGUGCAAUGGUUAAAUUUUUUUCUGCUCUUAUUCUGCAGAAUCUCUCCCGGGGUAAGCUACUGUAGCCUUGCUUAAACUUCAGGCUGGUUCCUCAUCUGAACCCUUUACUGUCUUGGAAUAGAAGACUAUGUCCAGAACAUGCCUCCUCUGAAGAGAUGGAUCAAGAUGUCCUCAUACCUGAAAGGAGCAAGUGCACUACAUUUCCAACAUUCUUGUCAACCCAAACCUUUCAUGACUCCAAGUGGGCUCAAAAUCUGGACGAUAUUCUGCUGUAUACUUGUGUCCCAAAGAUGGAAAUGCCACUCAUUUAAGAAACAGUGUAUGAAUAUUGAAUGGGGAGGACAGGUGGUGAAA